AGAGAGAGACAUGCGCGCAUAUCAAUAAGCGGAGGAAAAGAAACUAACUAGGAUUCCCUUAGUAACGGCGAGUGAAGCGGGAAGAGCUCAAAUUUGAAAUCUUCAAGGUUUUACCUUGACGAAUUGUAGUUUAAAGAAGUGUUUUCUGUUGGAAGUUUUGGUAAAAGUUCUUUGGAAUAGGACAUCAUAGAGGGUGAGAAUCCCGUAUUUGACCAUUAUUUCAGCUGUGUGAUACACUUUCAAAGAGUCGGAUUGUUUGGGAAUGCAGUCCAAAAUGGGUGGUAAAUUUCAUCUAAAGCUAAAUAUUGGCGAGAGACUGAUAGCGAACAAGUACCGUGAGGGAAAGAUGAAAAGAACUUUGAAAAGAGAGUUAAACAGUACGUGAAAUUGUCAAAAGGGAAGCGUUUGACACCAGUGUUGUUUUCUCGAAAAUCAAUUAAAAAGAGUUAGAUUUUGUUGUAUAUUGACCUUAACAGCUUGCAUUUCAAUUUUCUUGCUUUUUUUAAUGCACUUUUCGUUUAACAAGUCAACAUCAGUUUCUUUUGUUGUAAAAAGGGUCAUUGGAAGGUGGCUUUCUUUUCGGAGAAAGUGUUUAUAGCCUUUGGCCUCUGCAAUCGGAGAGAUUGAGGUCUGCAGCGUAGAUCCUUCGGGGUUAGAUACAUUUGUGCUAAGUUAUAGCCUUUCAUAGACAACUUGUUGACUAUGAUCAGUCAUGUAGCUUACUCGCUUAUGCUAUUUUACCUACGCUUAGGAUGUUGAUGUGAUACUGCGAGCA
rnacentral:rRNA from 1 species